GAUGAACGCUGGCGGCGUGCCUAAUACAUGCAAGUCGAACGAAACUUCUUUAUCACCGAGUGCUUGCACUCACCGAUAAAGAGUUGAGUGGCGAACGGGUGAGUAACACGUGGGCAACCUGCCCAAAAGAGGGGGAUAACACUUGGAAACAGGUGCUAAUACCGCAUAACCAUAGUUACCGCAUGGUAACUAUGUAAAAGGUGGCUAUACUACCGCUUUUGGAUGGGCCCGCGGCGCAUUAGCUAGUUGGUAGGGUAAAGGCUUACCAAGGCAAUGAUGCGUAGCCGAAUUGAGAGGUUGAUCGGCCACAUUGGGACUGAGACACGGCCCAAACUCCUACGGGAGGCAGCAGUAGGAAAUCUUCCACAAUGGGCGAAAGCCUGAUGGAGCAACGCCGCGUGGGUGAAGAAGGUCUUCGGAUCGUAAAACCCUGUUGUUAGAGAAGAAAGUGCGUGAGAGUAACUGUUCACGUUUCGACGGUAUCUAACCAGAAAGCCACGGCUAACUACGUG
rnacentral:rRNA from 1 species